GUUAUCACUAAGGUGACAGAAUAGUACAUUUGUCCAAAUAGUGCUGCAGCUGCUGUCCAGUAGACUUCUUUAUGAUCCUAUGGUUCUUUUAUAAUAUUUGAAUUGCUGCUUGAUGAGAGCAGGGUCUCACAAAAACAGGGGAUGAUUAUGCAGUAAAGACGGCACAUGUUGAACUUGCUGAACGCAUACGCAAGCGGGAUGCUGCCACUUCUCCAAAUGUUGGGGAUCGUGUUCCGUAUGUUAUUAUUAAAGCUGCAAAAGGUGCCAAGGCUUAUGAAAGGUCGGAGGAUCCUAUCUGCGUGCUAGAGAAUAACAUUCCAAUUGAUUCCCAUUACUAUCUCGAAAAUCAAAUUAGCAAGCCGCUUUUGAGAAUAUUUGAUCCCAUUCUAAAGAAUACGGAAAAGGAACUUCUCCAUGGCAGCCACACAAGAUCAGUUUCCAUUUCAACUCCUUCAAACAGCAGUAUCAUGAAAUUUGCUAAGAA